GAUGAACGCUGGCGGCGUGCCUAAUACAUGCAAGUCGAGCGAACAGACGAGGAGCUUGCUCCUCUGACGUUAGCGGCGGACGGGUGAGUAACACGUGGAUAACCUACCUAUAAGACUGGGAUAACUUCGGGAAACCGGAGCUAAUACCGGAUAAUAUAUUUAACCGCAUGGUUCAAUAGUGAAAGACGGUUUUGCUUUCACUUAUAGAUGGAUCCGCGCCGCAUUCGCUAGUUGGUAAGGUAACGGCUUACCAAGGCGACGAUGCGUAGCCGACCUGAGAGGGUGAUCGGCCACAGUGGAACUGAGACACGGUCCAGACUCGUACGGGAGGCAGCAGUAGGGAAUCUUCCGCAAGGGGCGAAAGCCUGACGGAGCAACGGCGCGUGAGUGAUGAAGGUCUUCGGAUCGUAAAACUCUGUUAUUAGGGAAGAACAAAUGUGUAAGUAACUAUGCACGUCUUGACGGUACCUAAUCAGAAAGCAACUGCUAACUACGUG
rnacentral:rRNA from 1 species